GAAACCUGGAAAGCCCUUCACUCAUGCACCUCUCAAUGCAAGGCUUCAUUUAUCCCAGGCGACAUUAGGAAUGGGUAACGGAGUACAGAAAAGCAUAGUUCAAUGUAAUGUGGGAAAUAGUAGGCCGGUAUUUCUCUGUAGUUUGUUCCCUGAUUUGGCAGACUGUUGUCAACUCAAUUUGGAAUUUGAGGAAUCUGAUGAAGUCGUUUUCUCUGUUAUUGGCCCUCGAACUGUUCAUCUUACCGGUUACUAUCUGGGCCCUGCUUCCCUUGAUCAUCAUCGCAGUGAUGAAUCAGAACCCUAUGG